rnacentral:rRNA from 1 species
GCAGUCGAGCGCAGGAAUUAUUUGAUUCUCUUCGGAGUUGACGAUAAUGGAAUGAGCGGCGGACGGGUGAGUAACACGUAGGCAACCUGCCUGUGAGACUGGGAUAACUCGUGGAAACGCGAGCUAAUACCGGAUAACACUUUUCAUCUCCUGAUGAGAAGUUGAAAGGCGGCUUUUGCUGUCACUUACAGAUGGGCCUGCGGCGCAUUAGCUAGUUGGUAAGGUAACGGCUUACCAAGGCGACGAUGCGUAGCCGACCUGAGAGGGUGAUCGGCCACACUGGGACUGAGACACGGCCCAGACUCCUACGGGAGGCAGCAGUAGGGAAUCUUCCGCAAUGGACGAAAGUCUGACGGAGCAACGCCGCGUGAGUGAUGAAGGUUUUCGGAUCGUAAAACUCUGUUGUUAGGGAAGAACAAGUGCCAUAGUAACUGAUGGUACCUUGACGGUACCUAACCAGAAAGCCACGGCUAACUACGUGCCAGCAGCCGCGGUAAUACGUAGGUGGCAAGCGUUGUCCGGAAUUAUUGGGCGUAAAGCGCUCGCAGGCGGUUCUUUAAGUCUGAUGUGAAAUCUUACGGCUCAACCGUAAACGUGCAUUGGAAACUGGAGGACUUGAGUGCAGAAGAGGAGAGUGGAAUUCCACGUGUAGCGGUGAAAUGCGUAGAGAUGUGGAGGAGCACCAGUGGCGAAGGCGACUCUCUGGUCUGUAACUGACGCUGAGGAGCGAAAGCGUGGGGAGCGAACAGGAUUAGAUACCCUGGUAGUCCACGCCGUANACGAUGAGUGCUAGGUGUUNAGGGGGUUUCCGCCCCUUAGUGCUGAAGUUAACGCAUUAAGCACUACGCCUGGGGAGUACGGCCGCAAGGCUGAAACUCAAAAGAANUGACGGGGGCCCNGCACANGCGGUGGAGCAUGUGGUUUAAUUCGAAGCAACGCGAAGAACCUUNNCAGGUCUUGACAUCCUCUGAACACUCUAGAGAUAGAGUUUUCCCUUCGGGGACAGAGUGACAGGUGGUGCAUGGUUGUCGUCAGCUCGUGUCGUGAGGUGUUGGGUUAAGUCCCGCAACGAGCGCAACCCCCGUCCUUAGUUGCUACCAUUUAGUUGAGCACUCUAAGGAGACUGCCGGUGAUAAGCCGCGAGGAAGGUGGGGAUGACGUCAAGUCCUCAUGGCCCUUACGGGCUGGGCUACACACGUGCUACAAUGGCGGUGACAAUGGGAUGCUAAGGGGCGACCCUUCGCAAAUCUCAAAAAGCCGUCUCAGUUCGGAUUGGGCUCUGCAACUCGAGCCCAUGAAGUUGAAUCGCUA